rnacentral:rRNA from 1 species
CCUACGGGUGGCUGCAGUGGGGAAUAUUGCACAAUGGGCGAAACCCUGAUGCAGCGACGCCGCGUGAGUGAAGAAGUAUUUCGGUAUGUAAAGCUCUAUUAGCAGGGAAGAAAAUGACGGUACCUGAUUAAGAAGCCCCGGCCAACUACGUGCCAGAAGCCGCGGUAUUACGUAGGGGGCAAGCGUUCUCCGGAUUUACUGGGUGAAAAGGGAGCGUAGACGGCUGCACAAGUCUGGAGUGAAAUCCCGGGGCUCAACCCCGGAAGAGCAUUGGAAACUGGGCGGCUAGAGUGCAGAAGAGGUGAGUGGAAUUCCUGGUGUAGCGGUGAAAUGCGUAGAUAUAAGGAGGAACACCAGUGGCGAAGGCGGCUUUCUGGACUGUAACUGACGUUGAGGCUCGAAAGCGUGGGGAGCAAACAGGAUUAGAUACCCGAGUAGUC